GACAUCCUACGGGGGGCAGCAGUAGGGAAUCUUCCACAAUGGGCGAAAGCCUGAUGGAGCAACGCCGCGUGGGUGAAGAAGGUCUUCGGAUCGUAAAACCCUGUUGUUAGAGAAGAAAGUGCGUGAGAGUAACUGUUCACAUUUCGACGGUAUCUAACCAGAAAGCCACGGCUAACUACGUGCCAGCAGCCGCGGUAAUACGUAGGUGGCAAGCGUUAUCUGGAUUUAUUGGGCGUAAAGGGAACGCAGGCGGUCUUUUAAGUCUGAUGUGAAAGCCUUCGACUUAACCGGAGUAGUGCAUUGGG
rnacentral:rRNA from 1 species